rnacentral:misc_RNA from 1 species
GAAAUGCGAUAAGUAAUGUGAAUUGCAGAAUGCAGUGAAUCAUCGAAUCUUUGAACGCACAUUGCGCCCGCCAGUAUUCUGGCGGGCAUGCCUGUUCGAGCGUCAUUUCAACCAUCAAGCCCCGGGCUUGUGUUGGGGACCUGCGGCUGCCGCAGGCCCUGAAAACCAGUGGCGGGCUCGCUGUCACACCGAGCGUAGUAGAUUCUCAUCUCGCUCAGGGCGUGCUGCGGGUUCCGGCCGUAAAACAGCCUUAUUUUACCCAAGGUUGACCUCGGAUCAGGUAGGAAGACCCGCUGAACUUAAGC